UGAGGUCUGUGAUGAACUUUAAUUGCCUACAUUGGCUGAGUAUCUUGUUUAAUUAGAUUAUGAUGUGUCCUAACGAUCUGAGACCUCU
rfam:Cajanus cajan Scaffold126926_3, whole genome shotgun sequence.